GCUAUAAGGCAUGUGGUGCUACUCUUUUCCAUUGUGCUCUUUUCUUGUUACAAUAUUGACCAGCAUGAUUAUUCUGUGCGUUUGAAAUCUGCCCAAAAGUUUUUGAAAGACGGUGACAAGGUUAAGGUUGUAGUGAACUUGAAAGGUCGUGAAAAUGAGUUCCGGAAUAUUGCUAUUGAGCUUAUCAAACGUUUCCAGAAUGAUGUCG